rnacentral:misc_RNA from 1 species
GCAGACAGUGGGAAAAGAUAACCCUAAGACUUAUACGACGAAUCAGACAAUAUUAUAAGUAUUUAUUCAUUUAUUAUUGUCGAUUUUUGGUACUUAGCGGUCAACUUAUGUGUAUGUGUUACAUUAUACAAACUUCUAAGCCUUUAUAUUAUGGAAAGUGGCAAAAUUGAUCAGGAUAAAAAACCUGCCGCUACAUGGAAAAUAUGGACGCAAAGAAGGUACGUGCUGACAAUGUUGGUGUUUUGCGGUUACUUCAACAUUUACCUUCUUCGCACCAACAUGAGCAUCGGGAUUGUGAUUAUGACCCAAAACCGCUAUACAACUUUAGACAAUGGAACCGUAGUUAAUAUAGGUCCAGAAUUCGAGUGGGACAACGUUAUCCAGGGCUACAUAUUGAGCUCCUUCUUUUACGGUUACAUCACUACGCAAUUACUCGGAGGUUUAAUUGGGAAUAAAAUCGGAGGAAAGUUGGUUUUUGGUGGAGGCAUUGCUGUUACUGCCCUGGUUACUUUAAUCAGCCCUUGGCUGGCGGAACUCAGCGUUUAUGCGCUGUUAGUAGCCCGGAUACUCAUGGGAGUGUUUGAGGGCGUAACUUACUCAAGCUUGUAUGUGCUUUGGGUAAAGUGGAUUCCUCCUUCUGAGCGUAGCAGAUCGACAACGCAAGCAAUGUCUGGGAGUUACCUAGGAGCCGUGUUUGCUCUGAUGUUUUUCGCCUAUCUAGGAGAAAUCGCCGGCUGGAGGAGCAUUUUUUGGUUCUCCGGGUCUGUAGGUUUAUUGUGGUUUGCUGCCUGGGUGUACGCGACAUCCGAAUCUCCUCAAACCGACCCUAAAAUAUCGCCUGAAGAGCGUGAUUACAUUGAACACUCGCUGAGAGCCUCGCAAGUUUCCAAAGCGCACAAAGUUCAAUGGAAGGCUUUGUUCACCUCUGGGGCUGUUUGGUCGCUGAAUGUGGCCCUGUUUUGCGAAACCUGGGGCUUCUACACGCUGCUAACUCUACUGCCCAAGUAUUUCAAAGAUGUUUUUCAGUUCGAUAUUUCCAAGUCCGGACUGGCUUCGGCGUUGCCCUAUAUUUCCAUAUCGAUCAUGAUGCAUGUGUGCGGUCAAUUGGCCGAUCGAAUUAUCGCGAAAAAAUGGCUAACACUCACCAAAACCAGGAAGACAUUUAUGUGCAUCGGAUUUUUUUCGCAGACCGGAUUCAUGUUAGGCGCAGCCUUUUGGGGACAGGCGGCUGGGACGGUCUUUUGCCUUGCAAUGGCUGUGGGUUUGGGGGCUUUUGCUAUUGCAACUGUGGGAGUAAACGCACUGGAUAUUGCUCCUCUUCACUCUGGCUUGGUGUUUGGGAUUGCCAAUACUUGGGGAACAGUGCCUGGCAUUAUCAGUCCGACUAUUGCUGGAUAUGUUAUUUCAACGGAUAAUCCGACGGUGGAACAAUGGAGGAUAAUUUUCUAUAUAACCGCAGGAUUAUAUUUCUUUGGGGCCAUAUUUUUUGUCCUCUUUGCCAGUGGAAAGCGGCAAGAUUGGGACUUGGAGGAGAAAGUGAACGAUGUUGACCUCAAGGUUUUGACUAGGAAAAAUAGCAAAUAAAAUUCAAAAAUGUAUACAAACUGUUCGCUGUUGUUGAAAAGUUUUACAUGUAAGAUAACAAGACGUUUUAUCUGGGGUCCUUAUCGGAAUUAAAAAUGGGCCAUUUUCAAUAUAAGAACCAACGAAAUACGAUGGUUCGAGUUGAAGGCCAGCACUGUUACGAACUAUUUGUGUAUAAAUACAUAAUAAAUAUAUAUCUUAAAGAAUUA